UACGUAGGCAGCAAGCGUUGUUCGGAGUUACUGGGCGUAAAGGGUGCGUAGGCGGCUUUUUAAGUCUGGUGUGAAAUCUCCCGGCUCAACUGGGAGGGUGCGCCGGAUACUGAGGGGCUAGAGUGUGGGAGAGGAAAGUGGAAUUCCUGGUGUAGCGGUGAAAUGCGUAGAUAUCAGGAGGAACACCGGUGGUGUAAACGGCUUUCUGGACCAUAACUGACGCUGAGGCACGAAAGCGUGGGGAUCAAACAGG
rnacentral:rRNA from 1 species